rnacentral:rRNA from 1 species
UAUUGGGCGUAAAGAGCUCGUAGGCGGCUUGUCGCGUCUGCCGUGAAAGUCCGGGGCUUAACUCCGGAUCUGCGGUGGGUACGGGCAGACUAGAGUGCAGUAGGGGAGACUGGAAUUCCUGGUGUAGCGGUGAAAUGCGCAGAUAUCAGGAGGAACACCGAUGGCGAAGGCAGGUCUCUGGGCUGUAACUGACGCUGAGGAGCGAAAGCAUGGGGAGCGAACAGGAUUAGAUACCCUGGUAGUCCAUGCCGUAAACGUUGGGCACUAGGUGUGGGGGACAUUCCACGUUUUCCGCGCCGUAGCUAGCGCAUUAAGUGCCCCGCCUGGGGAGUACGGCCGCAAGGCUAAAACUCAAAGGAAUUGACGGGGGCCCGCACAAGCGGCGGAGCAUGCGGAUUAAUUCGAUGCAACGCGAAGAACCUUACCAAGGCUUGACAUGUUCCUGACCGCCGUAGAGAUACGGUUUCCCCUUUGGGGCAGGUUCACAGGUGGUGCAUGGUUGUCGUCAGCUCGUGUCGUGAGAUGUUGGGUUAAGUCCCGCAACGAGUGCAACCCUCGUUCCAUGUUGCCAGCACUUUUAGGUGGGGACUCAUGGGAGACUGCCGGGGUCAACUCGGAGGAAGGUGGGGACGACGUCAAAUCAUCAUGCCCCUUAUGUCUUGGGCUUCACGCAUGCUACAAUGGCCGGUACAAUGGGUUGCGAUACUGUGAGGUGGAGCUAAUCCCAAAAAGCCGGUCUCAGUUCGGAUUGGGGUCUGCAAAUCGACCCCAUGAAGUCGGAGUCGCUAGUAA